GGGGGAAGUACAGAAUUUUAGGAUACCAUACCUUACGAACUUAUCCAAGUAGGUCUGUAUGUUUCUCUUUGCCUUUUGGGGUAUAUGAUACUGUCGUAGACUCACGGGAUAGGCCCCAAGCUUCAACUCAAUAAGUAUAGGUGGAAUAUUACAGGCAAGCCCUGGUGGAUUAUUUUCUGCCCAUACUCCUGGAAUGUCAAAUAGGGAUUCAUCACUCUUAGGAUUUACACUUGUCAUUAU